rnacentral:rRNA from 1 species
UACAGAGGGUGCGAGCGUUAAUCGGAAUUACUGGGCGUAAAGCGUGCGUAGACGGUUAUUUAAGUCGGAUGUGAAAGCCCCGGGCUCAACCUGGGAAUUGCAUUUGGGACUGCAAGGCUGGAGUGCGGCAGAGGAGACUGGAAUUCCUGGUGUAGCAGUGAAAUGCGUAGAUAUCAGGAAGAACACCCGUGGCGAAGGCGGCUUUCUGGGACGGUACUGACGCUGAGACGCGAAAGCGUGGGGAGCGAACAGG